rnacentral:lncRNA from 1 species
GUCCCAUAAAUAAAGGUGUGUAAGAAUUAAAAGGUGUAGAGAAAAAAAAUAAUGUUUGGCACAACAACAUCCCAUGCGACAUCCCAUAACUUCCACAAAGUUUAAAUUCUUCUAUAUAAAAGGUAUUGGGUGUGGAAGAGCCUUCAAGCAGAAGGACUCCUCCACUUUUGUGCCAACAAAUCUCUAAGAGCCAUCAAACGGCGUGUGGAGUAAAGGGAACACAUGAAAUAAAAGAAGGGAGUUAAGAGUCUUCGUUAAGAAGGACUCUUCCUUCUUAAUGCUAAAAGUGUGGUGCCAUUAAUUCUUUGGCGUGGAAAAUUGGCAUGGAGGAGGUGGAUCACACAUGGAAUACUUUCAUAAAAUCCAAAUCAGCCACAUAAUAAUUAGAUGGUUCAAACCUAAUUAUAUUAGAUCAAGGCAACAAGUCUGGGUUUAGCACAA